rnacentral:rRNA from 1 species
UGAUCCUGGCUCAGAACGAACGCUGGCGGCAGGCUUAACACAUGCAAGUCGAACGAUCCUUCGGGAUAGUGGCAGACGGGUGAGUAACGCGUGGGAACCUUCCCUAUGGUACGGAAUAGCUCCGGGAAACUGGAAUUAAUACCGUAUACGCCCUUCGGGGGAAAGAUUUAUCGCCAUAGGAUGGGCCCGCGUUGGAUUAGCUUGUUGGUGAGGUAAUGGCUCACCAAGGCGACGAUCCAUAGCUGGUCUUAGAGGAUGAUCAGCCACACUGGGACUGAGACACGGCCCAGACUCCUACGGGAGGCAGCAGUGGGGAAUAUUGGACAAUGGGCGAAAGCCUGAUCCAGCCAUGCCGCGUGAGUGACGAAGGCCUUAGGGUUGUAAAGCUCUUUUGGCGGGGACGAUAAUGACGGUACCCGCAGAAUAAGCCCCGGCUAACUUCGUGCCAGCAGCCGCGGUAAUACGAAGGGGGCUAGCGUUGUUCGGAAUCACUGGGCGUAAAGCGCACGUAGGCUGACUGGUCAGUUGGGGGUGAAAUCCCGGGGCUCAACCCCGGAACUGCCUUCAAUACUGCCAGUCUUGA